rnacentral:lncRNA from 1 species
GUUUGUCUAGGGUGCUCAGAAAUAAAUUAUACCAAUAAUUAGCUGCUUCAUCAACAUCUCCAAUCGAUUCAAUGAGAUAAAAAGGAGUAUUUGUUAAAUUUUCAAUAAAUUUAUUUGCGUAAACCCCUGAGGGUCUUUUACGCAGUAUAUAUUGGACGAUGUCCGUAGUCUUUCGGAACACCGGAUGUUAUUCGGAAUACAUCUGUUCUUUCUAUUGCCACCUUUCAUAUACAUGCGCAAUAGCUUAUUAAUUGACCUGUUGAAUAAGCAUUAGCAU